UUCCAGACUCCUACGGGAGGCAGCAGUGGGGAAUAUUGCACAAUGGGCGAAAGCCUGAUGCAGCAACGCCGCGUGAAGGAAGAAGGGUUUCGGCUCGUAAACUUCUAUCAACAGGGACGAAAGAAAUGACGGUACCUGAAUAAGAAGCCCCGGCUAACUACGUGCCAGCAGCCGCGGUAAUACGUAGGGGGCAAGCGUUAUCCGGAUUCACUGGGUGUAAAGGGAGCGUAGACGGCGACGCAAGUCUGGAGUGAAAGCCCGGGGCCCAACCCCGGGACUGCUCUGGAAACUGCGUCGCUGGAGUACGGGAGGGGCAGGCGGAAUUCCUGGUGUAGCGGUGAAAUGCGUAGAUAUCAGGAGGAACACCGGCGGCGAAGGCGGCCUGCUGGACCGUGACUGACGUUGAGGCUCGAGAGCGUGGGGAGCAAACAGGAUUAGAUACCCCAGUA
rnacentral:rRNA from 1 species